rnacentral:rRNA from 1 species
UAGAUACCUCGUAGUCCAUGCCGUAAACGAUGUGUGUUAGACGUUGGAAAUUUAUUUUCAGUGUCGCAGCGAAAGCGAUAAACACACCGCCUGGGGAGUACGACCGCAAGGUUAAAACUCAAAUGAAUUGACGGGGACCCGCACAAGUAGUGGAGCAUGUGGUUUAAUUCGAAGAUACGCGCAGAACCUUACCAACACUUGACAUGUUCGUCGCGACUCUAAGAGAUUAGAGUUUUCGGUUCGGCCGGACGAAACACAGGUGCUGCAUGGCUGUCGUCAGCUCGUGUCGUGAGAUGUUGGGUUAAGUCCCGCAACGAGCGCAACCCUCACUUUUAGUUGCCAUCAUUAAGUUGGGCACUCUGAAAGAACUGCCAGUGAUAAGCUGGAGGAAGGUGGGGAUGACGUCAAGUCCUCAUGGCCCUUACGUGUUGGGCUACACACGUGCUACAAUGGUAUCUACAACAGGAAGCAAGACUGCGAGGUCAAGCAAAUCCUUAAAAGAUACCUCAGUUCGGAUUGCACUCUGCAACUCGAGUGCAUGAAGCUGGAAUUACUAGUAAAAGUGGAUCAGCGUGCCACGGUGAAUGCGUUCCCGGGUCUU